AUUGAACGCUGGCGGCAGGCCUAACACAUGCAAGUCGAGCGAGCGGCGGACGGGUGAGUAAUGUAUGGGGAACUGCCUGAUGGAGGGGGAUAACUACUGGAAACGGUGGCUAAUACCGCAUACCAUCGGAUGUACCCAGAUGGGAUUAGCUAGUAGGUGGGGUAAAGGCUCACCUAGGCGACGAUCUCUAGCUGGUCUGAGAGGAUGAUCAGCCACACUGGAACUGAGACACGGCCCAGACUCCUACGGGAGGCAGCAGUGGGGAAUAUUGCACAAUGGGCGCAAGCCUGAUGCAGCCAUGCCGCGUGUGUGAAGAAGGCCUUAGGGUUGUAAAGUACUUUCAGCGAGGAGGCGUUACCCGCAGAAGAAGCACCGGCUAACUCCGUGCCAGCAGCCGCGGUAAUAC
rnacentral:rRNA from 1 species